GAGCACGAGGUCACCUUCUCGGAACACACGAGGCUUGACCUUCUUAUCGAAUGCUUUCUUCAUUCUCUGCUGAUAUAACUGACCAUGGCACAUGGCAGUUAAACGCUUCUCUUCAAUCAAAUUCAGUUGGUCGUAACGACUCUGAAUCCAUUCAGCAUCAGUCAACUAGGGACUUGAGGGUAUAAUUUUUCUUUUUUCUUUUGGA
rnacentral:lncRNA from 1 species